rnacentral:rRNA from 1 species
AUUGAACGCUGGCGGAAUGCUUUACACAUGCAAGUCGAGCGGCAGCGCGGGGGCAACCCUGGCGGCGAGCGGCGAACGGGUGAGUAACGCAUCGGAACGUACCUUGUAGUGGGGGGAUAACUAUCCGAAAGGAUAGCUAAUACCGCAUACGCCCUGAGGGGGAAAGGGGGGGAUCGCAAGACCUCUCGCUACAGGAGCGGCCGAUGUCCGAUUAGCUAGUUGGUGAGGUAAAGGCUCACCAAGGCGACGAUCGGUAGCUGGUCUGAGAGGAUGAUCAGCCACACUGGGACUGAGACACGGCCCAGACUCCUACGGGAGGCAGCAGUGGGGAAUUUUGGACAAUGGGCGGAAGCCUGAUCCAGCCAUGCCGCGUGAGUGAAGAAGGCCUCGGUUGUAAG